rfam:Lachnospiraceae bacterium A4 genomic scaffold acPFC-supercont1.5, whole genome shotgun sequence.
AUAAUGAUACUUCUGAAAUUUUAUAAAAAUUCAGUCAUGAAAUGACGGUGAAAUUCCGAUGU